rnacentral:misc_RNA from 1 species
UAUUAUUAUUAAUGCAAGGAAAUUGCAAAAUAUUUUUGCGUUAUUUUUUUUUUCCAUUUUUAAUUAAGCUUGUCGACUUAAAAUGAUGUUGAGGGAAGUAGUGUCAGAAGAUUUACAAUUUUUUAAUAUUGAUGCAGAAGUGGUUUCAAAUACAGGUGAAUGUUGAAAAAGAUCUAUAUAAUCAAUCCCAAUAGUUUGGAAGUAAGACUUACUUAUUGUUUUAAUUAAGCCCAUAGUAUAAGGCUCUUAAGGUAUAAUUCCAAAAGGGCCAUAGUGAAUAGAUAUGGUGAAAAAUAAUUCAAAAUGUGUUGUUCUUGAGUUAUUCUCUCUUGGUCAUUGAAAGACUUAAAUUACAUGAUAACUCCAACGCCACCUACCUAAGUGCAAUUAAGCCUAUUAUCACAAGUAUAAGAACAACCAAUAGGAAACAAUGUGUUUCAUUUCUAGGGGUUUUUAUUUCUUUCACAUUGGCUCUUUUCCUUCUUCUAUCUGACAGUACCCGUGGUCAUGUGAUUACUUUUGAUUUCAUGAGGUGCUUCCUCAAUUUUAUUUGAUUUUAUUUUGAAGUUCUAGUUUUUU